ensembl:lncRNA novel transcript
GGCAUUACAUCAACAUAACCACCGUGAUUUCGAACCACUCCAGCAUGUACUGCUGCUCUGCAGAUACUGGACAGCUGAGAAGAGGCAAGAAUAUAAGCACAAAUGUGAAGACUAGUACAUUCAAGAUACCAGCAGGACUUUUCAGUGGCACAUAAGACCAGUGCAAAUCUGGAGCUUGAGAGAGACUCAGAAUUGGAAAAUAACUGCAAAGGUAAAGCUGAACUGAAAAAAAUCUUGGUAAGUAAGCUCACCAAGAGAAAUAGGUGGUAAUGUACAUAUUCAGGCCUCUUUACAUGAUCAAAUUCCCUUAAUAUUCUAUUGAAUAUGUGCAUAAGACAUUUCCUAAAUUUGCAUUUGUAACUCUCUGGCUUAGAAAUCUGUAAUGGUUUCUAAGUGUUUGCCUCAUAAAACGUAAACUCAUCAGCAUGCACUUUCAGACUUUGUCUACACACUGAUGUGAGCUGGAUUCCUCUCUCUCUCAGACUAACUUGGUUGAAGCCCCUUUUCGUUCCGAUUUUCAGCAGCUUAGAGACAAAGCUAUCUGCUAGUCUGAUGUACAGCUCAUUGACUCUUAACUCCGUUACUUUGUA